CUGGNUCAGGACGAACGCUGGCGGGUGCUUAAUACAUGCAAGUCGAGCGGACUUGUAGGAGCUUGUUCCUGCAGGUUAGCGGCGGACGGGUGAGUAACANGUGGGCAACCUACCUGUAAGANUGGGAUAACUUCGGGAAACCGGAGCUAAUACCGGAUGACAUAAAGGAACUCCUGUUCCUUUAUUGAAAGAUGGCUUCGGCUAUCACUUACAGAUGGGCCCGCGGCGCAUUAGCUAGUUGGUGAGGUAACGGCUCACCAAGGCAACGAUGCGUAGCCGACCUGAGAGGGUGAUCGGCCACACUGGGACUGAGACACGGCCCAGACUCCUACGGGAGGCAGCAGUAGGGAAUCUUCCGCAAUGGACGAAAGUCUGACGGAGCAACGCCGCGUGAACGAUGAAGGCCUUCGGGUCGUAAAGUUCUGUUGUUAGGGAAGAACAAGUGCUAGUUGAAUAAGCUGGCACCUUGACGGUACCUAACCAGAAAGCCACGGCUAACUACGUGCCAGCAGCCGCGGUAAUACGUAGGUGGCAAGCGUUGUCCGGAAUUAUUGGGCGUAAAGCGCGCGCAGGCGGUUUCUUAAGUCUGAUGUGAAAGCCCCCGGCUCAACCGGGGAGGGUCAUUGGAAACUGGGAAACUUGAGUGCAGAAGAGGAAAGUGGAAUUCCAAGUGUAGCGGUGAAAUGCGUAGAGAUUUGGAGGAACACCAGUGGCGAAGGCGACUUUCUGGUCUGUAACUGANUCAAAGGCGGNCAAGCGUGGGA
rnacentral:rRNA from 1 species